CGCCAUGGCGAUCGCCGCCGCCGCCGCCGCCACCCCAGUAGCCUCGGCUGCGCUGCCCCGCGGGGCCGGCGGGUCGGCGGCCAGCUGCGCUCCGGGGUCCGCGGGAGGGGGCGGCACCGCCUCCCGAUUGCUAGCCGCCAGCCCGCCGCUACCGAGAGGUUUUGUCUCCCACUCGAGAUAAAUCAAAAAGAUGUGCUGGAUUUCCAAUCAAUAGCACCGCUGGAUGUACAAGAGGAAUGACUCCCUCACCUGCUACACCCACGCGCACACACACACUCCACGCCACCCCAUGGCUCUGCAAGGGCUUUUCUUCAGCGGCCGCACAAUGUUACGGUUCCAGGCUUGUGUUGGAGAAGACUGUUGUGCGCCUGUGUCUGUCCGCCAGGGCAGCUCCAGCCCCUGGCUAAUAAAAAAGGUACCGAUGGUUAAGACACAAAUGUGUGACGUCAAGCUCGGUUUUUAAAAGCCCCUUGUUCCCUACGUCAAUUGUUUCUCUUGAGACCAGACUAUUCAGAGGAUCGAUUUGAGUCUAAUAGCAGUCAUGAGAACGAGGGACCCAUGCCAGGACUCUGUAUAUUGCAAUGCUGUUUUUAUAACAAAAAGUUUAUCUUUUAACACAUGAACAAUGAAAAUGUCAGGGUGCAAAAUGAAUCUAUAGAAACAAUUUCUUAUCUAAAAUUGCAUUUCUCAUCAUAAAUUAUGUGUUCUACUUAAAAUGGAGGGAUUCUCAUAACUGGGAGGUAGCAAUCAGGAUGAAGUUAAAAGAAGUAAAUACUAUCAAUAAUAAUAAAUAUAUUUAGAAAUAUAUAAAUAAAUAAAUAUAAUUGGAAAAGUGCAAGGAUUCUUAUAAAUUUGUUUUUGAAAUUAUUUGUCUAUGAGUAACUCAUUUCAUUUGGAAUUUGCUUUGAUUCCAGUCCCCCCAAGUCUAUGCAAAACUGGGAAUUCUUGAAAAGUAAGGAAAUCAAGUCCACAGAUUACUUUCAAAUUAGUGAAAUGUUGUAUGAAUGCUAAAGUUAACUUAUGAAGUUGGAAUAUUACCUUUGCAUGCAUUUAAAUAAAUUAUUCUUUAAAAAAAAGUCAA